rnacentral:rRNA from 1 species
GACGAACGCUGGCGGCGUGCUUAACACAUGCAAGUCGAACGAUGAAGCUAGAGCUUGCUCUGGUGGAUUAGUGGCGAACGGGUGAGUAACACGUGAGUAACCUGCCCCGAACUCUGGAAUAACUGCUGGAAACGGUAGCUAAUACCGGAUAUGACCAAUGAAGGCAUCUUCUGUUGGUGGAAAGAAUUUCGGUUCGGGAUGGACUCGCGGCCUAUCAGCUUGUUGGUGAGGUAACGGCUCACCAAGGCGACGACGGGUAGCCGGCCUGAGAGGGUGAUCGGCCACACUGGGACUGAGACACGGCCCAGACUCCUACGGGAGGCAGCAGUGGGGAAUAUUGCACAAUGGGCGCAAGCCUGAUGCAGCAACGCCGCGUGAGGGACGACGGCCUUCGGGUUGUAAACCUCUUUUAGUAGGGAAGAAGCGAAAGUGACGGUACCUGCAGAAAAAGCACCGCCUAACUACGUGCCAGCCGCCGCCGUAA